CUUCUUCAAACUUCCUGGAAAUUAUGAACUCUAUUAGUAUUCUGACAAAUAUCUUGUGUUAAUUUAAUACUCCAACCAUAACAAUCGAAUUUCUACUGAAAGUGUAACUCUCUGGUGCAUUACUCAAUUCCAGUUUACUUGUCAGAAAUUGUGGUAAAAAAAAUGGGACUCAGGGAUUGUCAGCAAGACCAAAAUGGACUUGCCUUGAAAAGAAGAACCGUAUACUGUAUCAAGCUUAGAAAAUAAACCUGGAAGAUCUUUGGCAUGAAGUGUCAAGAGGAAACUCAGUUUUUUUUUUUUUUU
rnacentral:misc_RNA from 1 species